AGGGUGUAAACGCUGCCGACUUGGUGUUGGAGGCCCUUCGGGGGCAUUCAGUGCCGGAGAGAAGUUGUUAAGUCGGCCACUUGGGGAGUACGUCCGCAAGGAUGAAACUUAAAGGAAUUGGCGGGGGAGCACCGCAACGGGAGGAGCGUGCGGUUUAAUUGGAUUCAACACCGGAAAACUCACCAAGGGCGACUGUUACAUGAAAGCCAGGCUAAUGACCUUGCUUGAUUUUCAGAGAGGAGGUGCAUGGCGUCAGUGACU
rnacentral:rRNA from 1 species